CCUCCUUUUCUUGGCAUCUCUUGAACUUCCACCAUGUUUAUGAGAUGAAUGCAACCAGGAGGAAGAUUAACAUGAUGAACCUUCGGUGUCAAGGGUGUCUUUAUCCCUUGAUCCCAUCCUCUAGCAUCAUCACAUUC